rnacentral:misc_RNA from 1 species
UUUCCGUAGGUGAACCUGCGGAAGGAUCAUUAUUGUAUAACCGAACUGCGAAAGCUGUCUCUACAUCGCUAGGUCGUGCACGCCCGAGUUCCCUCACCCACAUCCAUCUCCCCCAUCUGUGCACAACCGCGUGGCUCCCCAUUUGGCUCUUUUGGUGCGGUGCUUACGUUUUCACACAAACUUUGUAUGCAGCGAAGAAUGUAUUUUUUGUUUUUGCGAUCACGCAAUCAAUACAAAUUUCAACAACGGAUCUUAUGGCUCUCGUAUCGUCGAAGCACC